rnacentral:rRNA from 1 species
AAACCGCCUAGAGGUAAACGGGUGGAUCCGCAAAGUCGGCCCGCGGAAUUCAGCUCGGGAGGUCGCGCGCCCGCGGGUGGGUCGGGGAUCUUUAUCGACCCUCCCACCUCGGGACCGCGUGUCGACCGUGUGCACUUUCCGCGGGCAGAGCGCCACGACCGGUUCUCGGGCGGUCAGAAGGCGGCGGGGAUGGUAGGCGUGCGCUUCGGCGUGCGCUGGUAUAGCCCCGCCUGUCCCGAUCCGCUUGGGGACCGAGGAGCCGCCGCCGGCAGAGGCCGCCUUGCCUUCCCGGGAGGUUCGACUGGCAGAGACUGGGCAACCGUGUCUGCCGACCGCCUCUCUGGAUGGAUGGGGUGGGCCCGCCGGCACAGGGUCGGUGGCGAAUCGGUCGGCCCUCCACCCGACCCGUCUUGAA